rnacentral:rRNA from 1 species
GGAGCUAACGCGUUAAGUCGACCGCCUGGGGAGUACGGCCGCAAGGUUAAAACUCAAAUGAAUUGACGGGGGCCCGCACAAGCGGUGGAGCAUGUGGUUUAAUUCGAUGCAACGCGAAGAACCUUACCUACUCUUGACAUCCACGGAAUUUGGCAGAGAUGCCUUGGUGCCUUCGGGAACCGUGAGACAGGUGCUGCAUGGCUGUCGUCAGCUCGUGUUGUGAAAUGUUGGGUUAAGUCCCGCAACGAGCGCAACCCUUAUCCUUUGUUGCCAGCGAUUCGGUCGGGAACUCAAAGGAGACUGCCGGUGAUAAACCGGAGGAAGGUGGGGAUGACGUCAAGUCAUCAUGGCCCUUACGAGUAGGGCUACACACGUGCUACAAUGGCGCAUACAAAGAGAAGCGACCUCGCGAGAGCAAGCGGACCUCACAAAGUGCGUCGUAGUCCGGAUCGGAGUCUGCAACUCGACUCCGUGAAGUCGGAAUCGCUAGUAAUCGUGGAUCAGAAUGCCACGGUGAAUACGUUCCCGGGCCUUGUACACACCGCCCGUCACACCAUGGGAGUGGGUUGCAAAAGAAGUAGGUAGCUUAA